AGGAUUAUUUGGCAGUUCAAUCUCAGAUGAAGUAUGAGUUUUGUAAUUGUUGUUGUGCUAAUGUUUACCAUGAUAUUGAGAGAAUGGCAGAACACAGGGAUUGAAAAGCUCUCACUACAGAGUUUAUGCCUUCCUUUUAGAAGAUUCUGUGAGAGUGAGGGCAUUCUUUGGUUACCUAGUUGAGGAGUGCCAGGAUUUCCUGAUGUGGAUGAUGUAUAUGUUCCUCCAGAAAUUUGUGGAGCUUAUUGGGCUCCAUGGAUGAUAUAAAUGAAACUGCCCUUCUGUGAAUGAUAGUUAUAAUUCUUGCA